rnacentral:rRNA from 1 species
UAAUACGGAGGGUGCAAGCGUUAAUCGGAAUUACUGGGCGUAAAGCGCGCGUAGGCGGUUUGUUAAGUCGGAUGUGAAAGCCCCGGGCUCAACCUGGGAACUGCAUACGAUACUGGCAAGCUAGAGUGCAAUAGAGGGGGGUAGAAUUCCAGGUGUAGCGGUGAAAUGCGUAGAUAUCUGGAGGAAUACCGGUGGCGAAGGCGGCCCCCUGGAUUGACACUGACGCUGAGGUGCGAAAGCGUGGGUAGCAAACAGGAUUAGAUACCCUGGUAGUCCACGCCGUAAACGAUGUCAACUAGCUGUUGGGACUCUUGUAGUUCUGGUAGCGCAGCUAACGCACUAAGUUGACCGCCUGGGGAGUACGGCCGCAAGGUUGAAACUCAAAUGAAUUGACGGGGGCCCGCACAAGCGGUGGAGCAUGUGGUUUAAUUCGACGCAACGCGAAAAACCUUACCUACUCUUGACAUCCUGCGAACUUUCUAGAGAUAGAUGGUGCCUUCGGGAGCG